ensembl:lncRNA
AUGCUGGCUCUGUUCAGAACCUCAUUCAGAACUCCAGCUCAAUUCAGAACCUCAUUCAGAACGCUGGCUCUGUUCAGAACCUCAUUCAGAACUCCAGCUCAAUUCAGAACCUCAUUCAGAACGCCGCCUCUGUUCAGAACCUCAUUCAGAACUCCAGCUCCAGCUCAAUUCAGAACCUCAUUCAGAACGCCGCCUCUGUUCAGAACCUCAUUCAGAACUCCAGCUCCAGCUCAAUUCAGAACCUUAUUCAGAACGCUGGCUCUGUUCAGAACCUCAUUCAGAGCUCCAGCUCAAUUCAGAACCUCAUUCAGAACGCUGGCUCUGUUCAGAACCUCAAUCAGAACGCUGGCUCCGUUCAGAACCUCAUUCAGAGCUCCAGCUCAAUUCAGAACCUCAUUCAGAAUGCUGGCUCUGUUCAGAACCUCAUUCAGAGCUCCAGCUCAAUUCAGAACCUCAUUCAGAACGCUGGCUCUGUUCAGAACCUCAUUCAGAAGUGUAGCUCCUGCUCAAUUCAGAGCCUCAUUCAGAACGCCGCCUCUGUUCAGAACCUCAUUCAGAACUCCAGCUCCAGCUCAAUUCAGAACCUUAUUCAGAACGCUGGCUCUGUUCAGAACCUCAUUCAGAACUGUAGCUCCAGCUCAAUUCAGAGCCUCAUUCAGAACGCCGCCUCUGUUCAGAACCUCAUUCAGAACUCCAGCUCCAGCUCAAUUCAGAACCUUAUUCAGAACGCUGGCUCUGUUCAGAACCUCAUUCAGAGCUCCAGCUCAAUUCAGAACCUCAUUCAGAACGCUGGCUCUGUUCAGAACCUCAAUCAGAACGCUGGCUCCGUUCAGAACCUCAUUCAGAGCUCCAGCUCAAUUCAGAACCUCAUUCAGAACGCUGGCUCUGUUCAGAACCUCAUUCAGAACUGUAGCUCCAGCUCAAUUCAGAACCUCAUUCAGAACGCUGGCUCUGUUCAGAACCUCAUUCAGAACUCCAGCUCCAGCUCAAUUCAGAACCUCAUUCAGAACGCUGGCUCCGUUCAGAACCUCAUUCAGAACUUGA